rnacentral:rRNA from 1 species
AGCAGCCGCGGUAAUUCCAGCUCCAAUAGCGUAUAUUAAAGUUGUUGCAGUUAAAAAGCUCGUAGUUGAAUUUCGGGGUUAGUAGGUUGGUCAUGCCUCUGGUAUGUACUGGUCUCACUGAUUCCUCCUUCCUGAUGAACCUUAAUGCCAUUAAUUUGGUGUUUUGGGGAAUUUGGACUGUUACUUUGAAAAAAUUAGAGUGUUUAAAGCAGGCAUUUUUGCUCGAAUACAUUAGCAUGGAAUAAUAGAAUAGGACGGCAUGGUUCUAUUUUGUUGGUUUCUAGGAUCACCGUAAUGAUUAAUAGGGAUAGUUGGGGGCAUUAGUAUUCAAUUGUCAGAGGUGAAAUUCUUGGAUUUAUUGAAGACUAACUACUGCGAAAGCAUUUGCCAAGGAUGUUUUCAUUAAUCAAGAACGAAAGUUAGGGGAUCGAAGACGAUCAGAUACCGUCG